UCCUCUAUUGGGAACAACAGACUUCCUCUGGAUAAGGUGCCAUUCCUGUGUCCCUUGGAGGGUCACGUCCACCUGAAAAUGCUGUGUGAGGUGGGUUCAAAGGUGGAAGAAAGAGGCUUCUUGACAAUGUUUGAAGAUGUCAGCGGGUUUGGAGCGUGGCACAGAAGAUGGUGUGUGCUGUCAGGAUAUUCC